UUCUCCGGCGGACGUCCUAGGCGUGUCAGGUAAUCCGGCGGGUGUCCUGUAGGACGGCCCCGGUUAGCAAAGAUGUCCGGCGGCCGGUGGCGGAGCAGGUCUCUCAUAGGCCGGCGGCGGAGCAGGUCUCUCGGAGACCGC